rnacentral:tRNA from 1 species
CGGAGUGUAGCUCAGCCUGGUAGCGCGUCUGGUUUGGGACCAGAGGGGCGCGGGUUCAAAUCCUGCCACUCCGACCA